GACGAACGCUGGCGGCGCGCUUAACACAUGCAAGUCGAGCGAAGCGGCGGACUGGUGAGUAACCCGUGAGUAACCUGCCUUAGACAUUGGGAUAGCCUCGGUAACCCUGGAUUAAUACCAAAUGGUCUCAGAUGGACUCGCGUCCCAUUAGCUAGUUGGUGAGGUAACGGCCCACCAAGGCGCCGAUGGGUAGCCGGACAGAGAGGGUGAACGGCAACAUUGGAAAUGAGAAACGGUCCAAACUCUACGGGAGGCAGCAGUGGGGAAUAUUGCACAAUGGAGGGAACUAUGAUGCAGGGACGCCGCGUGAACGAAGAAGGCUGUCGAGACGGAAAGUUCUUUUAUAUGGGAAGCGGUACCAGAAGAAAAAGCCCCGGCUAACUACGUGCCAGCAGCCGCGGUAAUUC
rnacentral:rRNA from 1 species